CUCAGCGAAAUUGAAUUCUCCGUGAAGAUGCGGAGUUCCCGCGGUCAGACGGAAAGACCCCGUGCACCUUUACUAUAGUUAUGUAUUGUAGCAAAUAUUUUUAUGUAUAGUAUAUGUGGGAAAUUUUUAUUAAUUCUUUGCGCAAGUAAAUAAAAAAAAUAUAAAUGAAAUACCACUCUUAAAAUUUUUUGUUACUAAUUAAACAGACAUUGCAUAAUGGGUAGUUUGACUGGGGCGGUCGCCUCCUAAAUAGUAACGGAGGCGUACAAUGGUAAGUUCAAAUUGAAAAACAAUUGUAGAGCAUAAUAGUAUAUUACUUGCUUGACUGUAAGAUUGACAAAUCAAGCAGGGACGAAAGUCGGUUAUAGUGAUCCGGUGAUUCUGUGUGGAAAAGGUCACCGCUCAACGGAUAAAAGGUACGCCGGGGAUAACAGGCUGAUGAUGCCCAAGAGUCCAUAUCGACGGCAUUGUUUGGCACCUCGAUGUCGGCUCAUCGCAUCCUGGG
rnacentral:rRNA from 1 species